rnacentral:rRNA from 1 species
GUCAAGAGUUUAAAUACCUUAAGAGCACCAGAUCCUGUCUGAUCUCGGAAGUUAAGCAGGGUCAAUCCUGGUUAGAACUUGGAUGGAAGAUCAGCAAUUAAUUCCAUGUGCUGUAGGCU